CCUACGGGAGGCAGCAGUAGGGAAUCUUCCACAAUGGGCGAAAGCCUGAUGGAGCCACGCCGCGUGGGUGAAGAAGGUCUUCGGAUCGUAAAACCCUGUUGUUAGAGAAGAAAGUGCGUGAGAGUAACUGUUCACGUUUCGACGGUAUCUAACCAGAAAGCCACGGCUAACUACGUGCAAGCAGCCGCGGUAAUACGGAGGUGGCAAGCGUUAUCCGGAUUUAUUGGGUGUAAAGGGAACGCAGGCGGUCUUUUAAGUCUGCUGUGAAAGCCUUCGGCUUAACCGGAGUAGUGCAUUGGAAACUGGGGGCCUUGAGUGCAGAAGAGGAGAGUGGAACGCAAUGUGUAGCGGUGAAAUGCGUAGAUAUAUGGAAGAACACCAGUGGCGAAGGCGGCUCUCUGGUCUUUAACUGACGCUGAGGUUCGAAAGCGUGGGUAGCAAACAGGAUUAGAUACCCGUGUAGUC
rnacentral:rRNA from 1 species